UACGGAGGGGGCUAGCGUUUGUUCGGAAUUACUGGGCGUAAAGCGUACGUAGGCGGCUAUUCAAGUCAGAGGUGAAAGCCCGGGGCUCAACCCCGGAACUGCCUUUGAACUAGGUAGCUAGAAUCUUGGAGAGGUCAGUGGAAUUCCGAGUGUAGAGGUGAAAUUCGUAGAUAUUCGGAAGAACACCGGUGGCGAAGGCGGCAUCCUGGACCGGCAUUGACGCUGAGGCGCGAAAGCCAGGGGAGCCAAAGCGGG
rnacentral:rRNA from 1 species